rnacentral:SRP_RNA from 1 species
CGCAAGGCCGUAUGGCAAUGGUGAGUCUACGAAUCGUGUCAGAUCCGGAAGGAAGCAGCACUAAGUUGAUUUCGCCAUGUGCUGUAUGUACAUAGAGAAAA